AUCUGACUGACGAGUCCCAUAUAGGACGAAACGCGCAUAUUAGAU
rnacentral:hammerhead_ribozyme from 1 species